UACGGAGGGUGCAAGCGUUGUUCGGAAUCAUUGGGCGUAAAGCGCGUGUAGGUGGCUUGGCAAGUCGGGUGUGAAAUCCCGGGGCCCAACCCCGGAACUGCAUUCGAAACUGCCUCGCUAGAGUCCCGGAGAGGAAGGCGGAAUUCCCGGUGUAGAGGUGAAAUUCGUAGAUAUCGGGAGGAACACCAGCGGCGAAGGCGGCCUUCUGGACGGUGACUGGCGCUGAGACGCGAAAGCGUGGGGAGCAAACAGG
rnacentral:rRNA from 1 species